rnacentral:lncRNA from 1 species
UGUUCCUGUAUGCUUAUCCUUUUAUUUUCACUGCCUAUCAGAGUGCCUGCUACAUAACUGCCAAAACCGAGGGAGGAGCCAAGAGGGCCGAAUAGGAACAGCUCCGUCUACAGCAACCAGCGUGAGCGACGCAGAAGACAGUGGCACAGGUAGCACUUGGCUUUAUUGACACACUGCUGAAGAGGACACAACUUCCUGAAGAAAAAGAGAGGCUAAAGAGAGUUUGUAGAUAAAUACUGCUUUUCAAUCUGAAUAAAAUUGCAUGAAGACUUGGAACAUACAUACUUAAAGGAAGGCAAGUUUGAAAAUCUGGUUUGGGGAUUUAUGGUGGAUAUUUUUGCUUAACACUAUGUCAUACAACAGUAAUAAAAAAUAAAAAGGUGUUGUUUCAAUAAAAUU